UCAGGAUGAACGCUGGCGGCGUGCCUAAUACAUGCAAGUCGAGCGAAUGGAUUAAGAGCUUGCUCUUAUGAAGUUAGCGGCGGACGGGUGAGUAACACGUGGGUAACCUGCCCAUAAGACUGGGAUAACUCCGGGAAACCGGGGCUAAUACCGGAUAACAUUUUGAACCGCAUGGUUCGAAAUUGAAAGGCGGCUUCGGCUGUCACUUAUGGAUGGACCCGCGUCGCAUUAGCUAGUUGGUGAGGUAACGGCUCACCAAGGCAACGAUGCGUAGCCGACCUGAGAGGGUGAUCGGCCACACUGGGACUGAGACACGGCCCAGACUCCUACGGGAGGCAGCAGUAGGGAAUCUUCCGCAAUGGACGAAAGUCUGACGGAGCAACGCCGCGUGAGUGAUGAAGGCUUUCGGGUCGUAAAACUCUGUUGUUAGGGAAGAACCAAGUGCUAGUGAAUAAGCUGGCUCCUGACGAC
rnacentral:rRNA from 1 species